AGUGAACGCUGGCGGUAGGCCUAACACAUGCAAGUCGAACGGCAGCACAGUAAGAGCUUGCUCUUACGGGUGGCGAGUGGCGGACGGGUGAGGAAUACAUCGGAAUCUACUUUUUCGUGGGGGAUAACGUAGGGAAACUUACGCUAAUACCGCAUACGACCUACGGGUGAAAGCAGGGGAUCUUCGGACCUUGCGCGAUUGAAUGAGCCGAUGUCGGAUUAGCUAGUUGGCGGGGUAAAGGCCCACCAAGGCGACGAUCCGUAGCUGGUCUGAGAGGAUGAUCAGCCACACUGGAACUGAGACACGGUCCAGACUCCUACGGGAGGCAGCAGUGGGGAAUAUUGGACAAUGGGCGCAAGCCUGAUCCAGCCAUACCGCGUGGGUGAAAAAGGCCUUCGGGCUGUAAAGCCCUUUUGUUGGGAAAGAAAAGCAGCAGGUUAAUACCCCGCUGUUCUGACGGUACCCAAAGAAUAAGCACCGGCUAACUUCGUG
rnacentral:rRNA from 1 species